GGCAUGAUUUCAAAGCAGUGGUGGAUUUCAAAGCAGUGGUGGAUUCUGUCUUGUAUUUAUACAACCAACAGAAAGAAUCUAUUUUAGAGAAAACAGGCGAAGAAGAGAGCAGUGGGUAGCAAUUUCAUAGCCUGCUCUGUAAUUUAGUGUGGUGUUCUGUGCUGAAGGAGAAAAUAAUCCCUGUGUUAACAGACAAUGGAGGACGAGAGAAGGAAUGAUCAAGCAAUUUGGACCCCCGUCCUUCCACAGAAUAUGACUAGAGUGCAAGGGAGUUCAAGAACCUUUCAUGAUGUCUCCAUGUCUCCCCGGGGUCUGGAGUCUACAGUUUGGAAAUCAUUGCUGGAGUCUCUUGUAUCCUGGAUCCAGGCCCGGCUUUCUCUCAACAGUGCUGUCCAGAUGGAGAGCCACGGAAAGCUUUCAAACAGGGGAACCGUGAUGGAAAUAAUUAUUCCACGUCUAUUUCAGUGAGCCUCCUUUCAGUGUGCCUUUAUGUGUAGCUGACUCUAAUAAAGCAAAAAACUACAUUUCCCAGA